ACUGACGGUGUCCAGGGCAGAACGUUGCAGUAUUCCUAGUGCGGAUCAUACAAUUCCUAGUAUGGGGCAGUCAACAGCUUCAGAUAUACAGUAUAAAAUGGUGAGCAAAUACAAUGAUAAGUCAACGCAAUAGUACUGUCAUACAUACAGUCAUACAGUGACUAACGGACAAGACAUGCCAAAAAUUGAGUCAAAAAGUUAUCUCUUUCGGGCAUAGCACCCAAACAAAUACUGAGAAUUUUGACAAAAGAACUGACAGUGCCAGUGCAGAAUACCACCAGUGCCAGUUGGAAAAAACAAUGGCACAAUGAUAUAGCAGCCUGUAGGUAAAGUGGAAAAUACACGCACUAAAUUAUCCAAAGAAGAUCACUUUCUGGGGAUAUAUAAAAUGGUAUGCAAAAGUAUUAUAGGAGUGCUUUCUGAUUCCUGAUCUCCCAAUUUGGCAUGGCAACAACUUCCUGUGGGCACCUGGUCCCGGCAACGACAAUUACUGAUCGUGGCGGGUCUUGCAAGUACUCCAAGUGAUCUCGCCUCCCCGUCAGUCUGCCUCUGCUGGAAGGAUUCUGCAAAGAAGCCAUACAUAAUCAACACCAGAAGGAAGCCAAGCAUAUAGUGAUGCGGCAUACAUUUUUCUCUCUACAAAGUAAAUCAGAGAGGUGCCAUAUCACCAACCUUUGCAAACAGCAUGUUCAAUGUCUCUGGGAAUAGUAGUUCAACAUUUGCAGAUAUAUUUCCAUGUCUUCGGCUUC
rnacentral:lncRNA from 1 species